UAAAAUAAAGGUCUUUUGUAAAAAAAUUAAAAAAUAAAAUUAAGGUCAUAUUAUAUGUGUCUUUAAGGCACAUAAUAAACUAUCCAAAUUUUUUUUAAAAAAAAAAAAACUUCACAUUAAAUAAUAUAAAAAAUUGGGAAAAUUACACUCACCUCCCCCGAGAUAUAUUAAAAUGACAAUGACAGCCCCUCUAAUUUUAAAACUUACAUUAACCUCCCUUAAGUUCAUAUCAAAUACACAAACUUCUUCCCCUUAUUAACUAGCAUUGUUAACUUUCCGUUAAUUUUUUUUUUUCUAGUAGCAGCCCUAACAUAUCUAGUUACACCCAGAAUGACCAAAAUGGCCCUAUUCUAAAAUUAAAUUUUCAAUAUCAAACCUAAGUUGAAAAACUGAAAUUUCAAAGCAACCUUGAUACGAAGAAGAAGCAACGACGGAUACCAAACAUUAACUAUAUACUCCUAGAAGUCUAGAAAGACUCUUAAGAUACGAAACUAUUGCUCGUGUUGAAUUUUAUUGGGCAAAACUGUGAACAUAAAAAACAAAUACGUAUGAUUCCUAGAAGUCUAGAACGCAUCAAAAAAUUGAAAACACAUAAUUUGGUUAGAAAAUAUAGAAAACCCAGUGUCAAUGUUGAUAUCAGAAAACAAUAAAUAUCCAAUUCAUUGGGUUCGAUAUAGAGAGAAUGUUAGGGUGUGUUUGGUAACACAAAUAAGCUAGCUUAUAGCUUAUUAUAUAAGCUUAUAAGCUUGUUUCAAAAAAUUAGAGGUGUUUGGUAACAAACUUUUUGUACUAGCUUAUAGCUUUUUUUCAGAUACUAUUUGAAGUAGCAUUUGACUUUAUAGCUUAUAGCUUUUUACACUUUAUUCCAUUUUUACCCUUUAAUUUAAUAACUACCCACUCUAAAAAAUAAACUAGUCACUAUUAAUUAUGUAAUUUUAUAUUUAAUAAUCACUUUAAAAACUAAUUUUACCAAACACAUUAAUUUCAAUAAGUUAGCUUUUCAGCUAUCAGCUAGCUUAUAGCUUAUUUUUACCAAACAGACCUUAGUGUUCUUUCGUCUUCUUCGAUCACAGAGAAACCCUAAAAUAAUAAAUUAAAUCAAUACAACUAAUGACGGUUGAACUUAAAAAAAAAGUUAACGUAGAAUUAACGGUGUUAAUAGAUAAAUGAGGUAUUUGUGUAUUUGAUAAAAAUUUAAGGGAGAUUAGUGCAAGUUUUAAAACUAGAGGGGAUGUUAGUGUUAUUUUAAUAGACUUCAGAGGAGGUUAGUGUAAUUUUCCCUAAAAUAUCUUCUUCUUUUUUUUUUGACGCCCUAAAAUAUCUAAUAUUAAAAAGAUUCAUUCCACAAAUAAAAAAGAAAAUAGACACAUAUAACAUUUUUCAUAAAAUAAAAUUAUAUGCACUCACAAUUAUUAUAAAGGCACCUCCAUCUUAAAGGAGUGUGACACCUUUGUUUACACUAUCAAUAAUUUAUUCACUUUUUAAUAGAGAAGGAACGUUUCACACAAUCACAAUUAGAAGAAAUGCACUUCCGAAUUAAAGGUCUAUGACAUGCCCUUGUUUCACAAUCUUCGUCCCGUUCGCAAGGCCAUGGAAUAACUACAAUGUCAAAUAAAAAUAAAAGACUGUUAAUUAUUAUAGGUGGUCAAAUAUUGUGGGAAGAAAUAGUGUUAAAUAUUGUAUAUAUAAUAUAAAAGAAAAUUUAAAAAUAGUGAGAAGAAAUGAUUUACGAGAUGGCGUUCUUAAUCCAUCAAGUACAACAAGAAAUAUAGAAAUAAAGAUUAUCAAAGUAUAAAUAAACUUGAGAAGUUUAGUCAUAGUUUUUCUUUUUUGCAUGCAACAAAUUGAAAAUCGUUUGAUCAUUUUAUAUGUAAAAACUCUAUAGUUUGUUAACUAUAAUUAAAUAGAUCGCAGCACUUUCGAGUUGCAAUAAGUCUAUCAUAAUUUUAUUGUCAAAAAAAA
rnacentral:lncRNA from 1 species